rnacentral:rRNA from 1 species
GAUGAACGCUGGCGGCGUGCUUAACACAUGCAAGUCGAACGAGAAGUGAAGACGGAAACCUUCGGGCGGAAGGCUUUAUUUCGAGUGGCGGACGGGUGAGUAACGCGUGGGUAACCUGCCUCAUACAGGGGGAUAACAGUUGGAAACGACUGUUAAUACCGCAUAAGACCACAGCUCCGCAUGGUGCGGGGGUAAAAACUCCGGUUGUAUGAGAUGGACCCGCGUUCGAUUAGCCAGUUGGCGGGGUAACGGCCCACCAAAGCGACGAUCGAUAGCCGAUCAGAGAGGAUGACCGGCCACAGUGGGACUGAGACACGGCCCAGACUCCUACGGGAAGCAGCAGUGGGGAAUAUUGCACAAUGGGGGAAACCCUGAUGCAGCGACGCCGCGUGAGUGAAGAAGUAUUUCGGUAUGUAAAGCUCUAUCAGCAGGGAAGAAAAUGACGGUACCUGAGUAAGAAGCCCCGGCUAACUACGUG